AGUUUCUCGUUGCCCGACUUUUCCAGCAUCAGCGAUUUGUUUUCUCAGUUCCCCGGCAUCGUACAGAUUCCUCCUGACCUGCCAGACUUUGGAUCCAUCGCCAGUAACAUUCCAAGUAUUUCUCAACUACCAGGGAUUUUACAGAUCCCCGGAAUUUCCCAGCUGUCAACCGGGUUUCCCACGUUGUCGACGCAGCCUGGCGAACUCGCGGCACGAUCAGACUCGCAAAAUUCGCAGAGCGAUACGCGCGCAGAAGCCCAGGAGGGCAACUCGAAAGGAGACCCAACGAUCACGCCGUCAACAAUGACGGAGCCGUCCCAGGAUACGCAAACCAACCGCCAGGCAUCCUCAUAGACAUCUCCAACGAGAAAGUCGACUUGUCCGAUACUGAUAGAGAAGCAGCAACUAUCGAUUCAAAAUCGUCGGAAGAAGUUAAAAGUAGACAACGUAGGAGCACCAUAGACGUCCUCGGCUCUUAUUACGAUAACGAAGAAGCGGACACAGCGGAUAGCUUGGCGUCUUCGAAAUCGUCGACCCUGGCGUUGCCAAACAUCACGGAAUCCGAGUACCUUCGUCUAUUGAUCAAA
rnacentral:misc_RNA from 1 species